AUUGAACGCUGGCGGAAUGCUUUACACAUGCAAGUCGAACGGCAGCACGGGGGCAACCCUGGUGGCGAGUGGCGAACGGGUGAGUAAUACAUCGGAACGUGCCCAGUCGUGGGGGAUCACGUAGCGAAAGUUACGCUAAUACCGCAUACGAUUUACGGAUGAGAGCGGGGGACCGUAAGGCCUCGCGCGAUGGGAGCGGCCGAUGUCAGAUUAGGUAGUUGGUGAGGUAAAGGCUCACCAAGCCGACGAUCUGUAGCUGGUCUGAGAGGACGACCAGCCACACUGGGACUGAGACACGGCCCAGACUCCUACGGGAGGCAGCAGUGGGGAAUUUUGGACAAUGGGCGCAAGCCUGAUCCAGCCAUUCCGCGUGCAGGACGAAGGCCUUCGGGUUGUAAACUGCUUUUGUACGGAACGAAAAGGCUCUGGUUAAUACCUGGGGCUCAUGACGGUACCGUAAGAAUAAGCACCGGCUAACUACGUGCCAGCCGCCGCCGUAA
rnacentral:rRNA from 1 species